UUAAUUAACUUUUGUCUUUGUGCUUGCACACUUGCUUUGCCUUUCUUUCAAUCUAUAGUUAUUUUAUGGGUGGCUUGGCACCUCAACCAGAUGGGAAUUAAGUGGAAGGCAGAAGUUGGCGUGCACACACAACCUCUAAAUAAAUGCAGGCCUGGGAAGGAUGAUUCAUGCUUUACCUCUGUUCUUUCAGCUGCAGUCAGUAUUUUUCCAAUUUUGGUAGGCACCAGCCUCACCUGGAAAAUUGUUACAACAAAACAUACUUUAACUCUACUCCAGACCAAGUAGGGCUUAAAUCUCUGUAUUUAUUUGCCAAGUAGUUCAAAAUUUAGUAGUUGGGGGAAUGGGAUCACCAACCAUUCUGGUUUGCCCAGGAGCGAAGGAUUUCCUGAGCUGUGUGCUAAAGCCUGAACACUUCUGAGUAAGUUGAGACAUUUAGUCACCCUAUUUAGGGUUGAAGAUCAGGGCCAAAAUAGUGCAUGCAUCUGUCUGCAUUCCAUCUUUCGAUCCUAAUUAUUGUAAAAUACCAUACAACCCCCACUUUUAUGGGUAUAACAUAGAUAUGUUACUUAUCUAUUCUUAUUUUUGUAUAUUUUUUGUUUAUUGCAUGGUUUAUUACAUGUAAUGAGAACAACAAUCUCAUGACAUUGAUUUUAGAAUUAAAUGAGAUAAAAUAUGUAAAGCACUUAAGAUAAUGCCUGAUACUAAGUGUUCAAUGAAUGUUACAUAUUAUUUCUCUUUAGUUCCAAAGGUAUUUAUUUUCUUCUUGGUUUCCUGGAAUACUACUCUUUGGUAAAGGAAGUUUCUCACUGGUUUUCUAAGCCGGCAGUGGUCUGAGGCAUGCCACCAUUUCUUUGAGCUGUGAUGUGUUACAUCAUCUUCUUCCAAGACAGGCCCUCUUAGCUAGUGUGCUAACUGGACUUUCUCUCUCUGACUCGAAGGAGCUGUGCCUCAGAAGCUUUGUGGAGGUAGAAAGGCUUCUCCACAUGUCCCAUGAUAGGAGAGGGAUUCUACCCACCUUCUUUCUGGAUUCUUCUAUGGACUCUAAUGAUUUGUUCCUCAGUAGUGUCUAUUCCCGGACCCAGCAACUGCUUUUUGAAAUUUGCUUGCAGACAUCAACUUUGCAACUCUUUAUCUCGUUCUCAGCACUUCAACUUAAGGCUAAUAUUAGACCAAGACCCACUUCCUCUAGAAAUAAAUCCUUUUCUCCCCUAUACUUUCUUGGUCAAAUAAGGUUACAGACUUAUUUGGCACUUACUUAAGUAGUUUUUUUUUUUUUUUUUCUUCCUUAGGAUGGUUCUCAAUUUGUUGACUGAUGAAAUCAUAAAACAUAACAUAACCCUCUAGGUAGCAGAGAAUGUGCUUUGUAACAUCAUCCAGCGCUCCUUGUUGUGUUAUCCUGCAGUCUUAGUAAUCCACACUGUCUCACAGAUCAAGCCCUUUGCUCAUUCUGUCUGUUCUAUGCCAAACAUAUUAAUAACACAUACACCAGAGGACUGCUGGCACUGCCCCUCCCCAGAAUAAGCAAACAAGUCAUCUUUAAAAGCAAGUUGUUUCAGCUUCUUUGAUAGGAACUAAGUUACAUACAAGGUCACAAAGUACAUCAGUGAACUAACUGGAAACACAACCCAACAAGGCUGACUCCCAAGCCUGAGCACUUUACUAGAUCACGCUUCCUUCCUCGGUGAAAGGCUUCCCAGGGCAGGAAGAACUGGAGAGCAAGCCUCUAAAUUAUACAUGAUUGUUUGUCUCAUUUUCACUCCGUGGCUAAUUGAAGACACAGGGGAGUGCUGCUUUUUUGGCUUAAUCUCUCUUAGUAUCUCAUUUGUCUCACAAGUGUCGGGGAGUGCACUCUGCAGGUUAGCUUUGUGAACGGUCGAAUGGAAUUUGGUGAGCUUUGAGGAGUCCUGGGAUUACAAGUUCUGUGUCUUGGUUCACACCGCUCUGUGCAGUUCCCUUUUGUUUGUUUCCUCAUUUGCCAUUUUAAAAUAAAGUAUAUACCUAAUGUAAAUGACGAGUUAAUGGGUGCAGCACACCAGCAUGGUACAUGUAUACAUAUGUAACAAACCUGCAUGUUGUGCACAUGUACCCUAGAACUUAAAGUAUAAUAAAAAA